CCACACUCUGCGAGAGACUUUCAGUCUAUCAGGAGCAUGCAAGACAGCAGGCAGUGUCAGGGAGUUGAAUUCAAAUUGGAAAUCAAGAACCUGGCAAUGUCAGACUCUAAGGGUCAUGAGCCGGAGAAGGUCACUGCGGUGAGAGUGACAUCUGUGGAGAGCAAACAGACUGCAGAAACCGGAGGCUCUGACCUCAGCUCAUCUCUCUGAGCCCUUCAUCAGGACUUGGAGCAGCUGAGAAAUGCUAACGCAGCACUGAAGAAAGAAAACUGUGCUCUGAGAGAGCAGGUCAACUUGGCCAGAAAUGAGGAAGCAGACCUGCUGGGUCUCAGACUGUUUGUGGAUGAACAUGCAUAUCUCCUGAAGGACUUUUCAGAACAGUUGGAACAGUGCGUCACCACUCUUAAACAGGAUGUGGCUGCCAUUGUGCGUUGAAAGAGAGAAAAGUCUGGGAUUUGGUCAUGAUAG
ensembl:lncRNA